GUAGCGACUGCACGGCGGGACAUCAGUGUAUAAUUACUCUAGAUCGGAAUAAACACUGCCAAACCCAUCGAGGUGGUGUGCCAUCAGGUUUACCAGGACGCAACUCCUCCCCUAUCCAGCUGCCGACCCCGAAUCUGCCGGUGAAUGUGAUCCCGUUAAACCCACCAAUCACACACCAAGACUCAAAUGGCAAAAACUAUGGCACUUCAACACCGGGACUAGAUUAUCCUAACACAACGCAGAAGCCAGCAGAACAAGACACUCCACAAGGAGAUAAAGCCUUCCCAGGUCAUGGUCUGAUAUGGGGUGUGGUGCUGGGCGUAGCGGCGUUACUGUCGAUAUUAGCCGUCAUUGUCUGGAGACGACGCAAGGGGGCGCAGGUGGAGGCAGAAGAAAACAAUUAUGCGACGGCGGCAGAACUGACAUACGCUGUGUUGGACUUACCCGAAAGUGGCGUCAUCACGGGGAGCCCAAACACGACGCCUUAUGCUGAAAUCGUUGGCGUCUAUAACCCUAAUAAAAAAUACUAAAUUUA